UACGUAGGGUGCAAGCGUUGUCCGGAAUUAUUGGGCGUAAAGAGCUCGUAGGCGGUUUGUCGCGUCUGCUGUGAAAACCGAGGCUCAACCUCGGCCUGCAGUGGGUACGGGCAGACUAGAGUGCGGUAGGGGAGAUUGGAAUUCCUGGUGUAGCGGUGAAAUGCGCAGAUAUCAGGAGGAACACCGAUGGCGAAGGCAGAUCUCUGGGCCGUAACUGACGCUGAGGAGCGAAAGCAUGGGGGAGCGAACAGG
rnacentral:rRNA from 1 species